AAUCCAUAGGUUAAUGAGGCGAACCGGGGGAACUGAAACAUCUAAGUACCCCGAGGAAAAGAAAUCAACCGAGAUUCCCCCAGUAGCGGCGAGCGAACGGGGAGGAGCCCAGAGCCUGAAUCAGCAUGUGUGUUAGUGGAAGCGUCUGGAAAGGCGCGCGAUACAGGGUGACAGCCCCGUACACAAAAGCGCAUGUGCUGUGAGCUCGAUGAGUAGGGCGGGACACGUGGUAUCCUGUCUGAAUAUGGGGGGACCAUCCUCCAAGGCUAAAUACUCCUGACUGACCGAUAGUGAACCAGUACCGUGAGGGAAAGGCGAAAAGAACCCCGGCGAGGGGAGUGAAAAAGAACCUGAAACCGUGUACGUACAAGCAGUGGGAGCACAGGUUUACCUGUGUGACUGCGUACCUUUUGUAUAAUGGGUCAGCGACUUAUAUUCUGUAGCAAGGUUAACCGAAUAGGGGAGCCGGAGGGAAACCGAGUCUUAAUUGGGCGUUAAGUUGCAGGGUAUAGACCCGAAACCCGGUGAUCUAGCCAUGGGCAGGUUGAAGGUUGGGUAACACUAACUGGAGGACCGAACCGACUAAUGUUGAAAAAUUAGCGGAUGACCUGUGGCUGGGGGUGAAAGGCCAAUCAAACCGGGAGAUAGCUGGUUCUCCCCGAAAGCUAUUUAGGUAGCGCCUCGUGAAUUCAUCUCCGGGGGUAGAGCACUGUUUCGGCUAGGGGGCCAUCCCGGCUUACCAACCCGAUGCAAACUGCGAAUACCGGAGAAUGUUAUCACGGGAGACACACGGCGGGUGCUAACGUCCGUCGUGAAGAGGGAAACAACCCAGACCGCCAGCUAAGGUCCCAAAGUCAUGGUUAAGUGGGAAACGAUGUGGGAAGGCCCAGACAGCCAGGAUGUUGGCUUAGAAGCAGCCAUCAUUUAAAGAAAGCGUAAUAGCUCACUGGUCGAGUCGGCCUGCGCGGAAGAUGUAACGGGGCUAAACCAUGCACCGAAGCUGCGGCAGCGAACGUAUCACUUAAAGCGAUUCAGCGGGUUACGAUUGACG
rnacentral:rRNA from 1 species